rnacentral:misc_RNA from 1 species
CACAAACAUAUGAAGGGCGGGUGCUGGAACCUCGGGUUACCUUGCUGAAUUAUUUUCACCCAUGUCUUUUGCGGACUUCUUGUUUCCUUGGUGCGAGUUCGCUCGCCACCAGGACACCCACAUAAACCUUUUGUAUUGCAAUCAGCGUCAGUACAAUAAUUGAAUUUAUUA